UCCCUAGUAGUCCAGUGGCUAAGACUCUGUGUUUCCAAUGCAGAAGACCCAGGUUUGAUCCCUGAACAGGGAA
rfam:TPA: Bos taurus chromosome 10, whole genome shotgun sequence.